ACAGUGUCAUUAAUUUAGUUAAUUAGAGCAAAAAAGAUGUUUGCAUAUUUCACUGCUUAACUUUUUUCUUUACUCAAGCGAAUGAAGUAAAUCCAAAGCAUACAAAUAAGAGACAGAGUCCUAACAAAUAAAUUCUUUAUUGUCAAAUAUUUCUGAAGUCAUUACAGUGUAAUCAAGUCCAGUCACCUGAAUUCUGAUCCUCUCUGUGAAAAAAAAAAUCUUUUUAUUAAGGGACUUUGCUUUAAUCUGUGUCUGGGAAACCAGCCCUCCUGGUUCAUUUAAGGCCGAGGCAUUUCAGGACAUUCAUUUUGAGACAAACACACAUCAAGCACAGACUUGUUUCUUAAUGUUCGUUGGUUUUCCAGAAGCAUUUUCCUUUGGCCUUUGAACGCUCCAGAAUGUGUGCUUCUUUGUGGAGGGGCCACACUCCUGUUCCUGCUGAACUGAGCCAGUGAUUUACUACAACUGAUAUCAGCUCAGAAGGCACCGGAGCUCAGGUCCUGAUGAGACACACAACUCCAAACAGAUUAUCAGCUGACAUCAGAUGACCAGGUGUGUGGAAAGAAAGGGUCACAAAUCAGCAUGCCAAGAACCCACACAGCCACAACAAGCUGGAGACCCCCGUCAUCCCACCCAAACUCCUGCCUCUGCACGCUUGGCUUCACUUUAGCUUCUCCACUGUGAAAUCAGAACGGACUGCUCAACAGAGACCAACCAGAGAAGUGAAUCGUACAAUUCAGAGUGACUCCCCGCUGUUUUGCCUGACUGCCUUCAACAUCAUCCCUUCAUAGCCCUCAUUACAGCUUCAGCCCACUCCGGUUUCACAGAAACACUCCACCAUCCAGCAGUGUGAGUGUGUGUGUGUGUGUGCUGGAGGAAACUGGCGGUAAUCCUGUAAAAAGUUCUUUAACUCUGAGCCUUACUGUAAUCAAAUGCGGUCGUUAGAUGAGGGGCUCAUAAAGGAGAACAUGAGCUAUACUCAUCGCUGCUUUUUCCUGCCAGUCCCACCCUUUUGUCUGCUGGAUGCCAAAGCAUUACUGGGUUUUACUGCUGAAGGUUAUAGAGUUACAACCUUAAGCAAGAAUCUUUACUGUGCAUCUCAUCCUGCACCUUUUGUGCAGCAGAUUUAGUGGAAUACAUCAUGCUGCUUGACGAGAGGUCUUGCAUUUUUAAGUUAUGAAAUUGACAGUGGAUAAUAAACAUUGGUUUGUUUUGA